rnacentral:rRNA from 1 species
UGCAAGUCGAGCGAACAGAUGAAGUGCUUGCACUUCUGACGUUAGCGGCGAACGGGUGAGUAACACGUAAGGAAUCUACCUAUAAGCGGGGGAUAACAUUCGGAAACGGGUGCUAAUACCGCAUAAUAUCUUCUUCCGCAUGGAAGAAGAUUGAAAGACGGCUCUGCUGUCACUUAUAGAUGACCUUGCGGUGCAUUAGUUAGUUGGUGGGGUAACGGCCUACCAAGACGAUGAUGCAUAGCCGACCUGAGAGGGUGAUCGGCCACAUUGGGACUGAGACACGGCCCAAACUCCUACGGGAGGCAGCAGUAGGGAAUCUUCCGCAAUGGGCGAAAGCCUGACGGAGCAAUGCCGCGUGAGUGAAGAAGGCCUUCGGGUCGUAAAACUCUGUUAUAAGAGAAGAACAAAUUGUAGAGUAACUGCUACAGUCUUGACGGUAUCUUAUCAGAAAGCCACGGCUAACUACGUGCCAGCAGCCGCGGUAAUACGUAGGUGGCAAGCGUUGUCCGGAUUUAUUGGGCGUAAAGGGAGCGCAGGUGGUUUCUUAAGUCUGAUGUGAAAGCCCACGGCUUAACCGUGGAGGGUCAUUGGAAACUGGGAAACUUGAGUACAGAAGAGGAAUGUGGAACUCCAUGUGUAGCGGUGGAAUGCGUAGAUAUAUGGAAGAACACCAGUGGCGAAGGCGACAUUCUGGUCUGUUACUGACACUGAGGCUCGAAAGCGUGGGGAGCAAACAGGAUUAGAUACCCUGGUAGUCCACGCCGUAAACGAUGAGUGCUAGGUGUUGGGAGGGUUUCCGCCCUUCAGUGCCGCAGUUAACGCAUUAAGCACUCCGCCUGGGGAGUACGACCGCAAGGUUGAAACUCAAAGGAAUUGAACGGGGACCCGCACAAGCGGUGGAGCCAUGGUGGUUUAAUUCGAAGCAACGCGAAGAACCUUUACCAAGUCUUUGACAUCCUUUUGACCACCCUAGAAGAUAGGGCUUUCCCUUCGGGGACAAAGUGACAGGUGGUGCAUGUGUCGUCAGCUCGUGUCGUGAGAAUGUUGGGUUAAGUCCCGCAACGAGCGCAACCCCUAUUAUUA